rnacentral:rRNA from 1 species
UUAAGGGCGUACGGUGGAUGCCUUGGCGAUAUCAGCCGAAGAAGGACGCGGUAAGCUGCGAUAAGCUACGGAGAGGUGCAAGCAACCUUUGACCCGUAGAUUUCCGAAUGGGGGAACCCGGCAGUGGUUAUGCACUGUCACCCAUACCUUUGAGUAUGAGGAGGGCACCUGGGGAACUGAAACAUCUAAUUACCCAGAGGAAAAGUAAUCAAACGAGAUUUUCUUAGUAGCGGCGAGCGAACGGGAAAGAGGCCAAACCGGAGCGGGCAACCGCACCGGGGUUGAGGACAGUCAUCAAGUGUAAAUGAGGUAGAAGAAUCGAGUUGGAAAGCUCAGCCGAAGAAGGUGAAAGCCCUGUAAUCGAAACCUUGCAUACACGGGACUGUAUCCAGAGUACCACGAGACACGUGAAACCUUGUGGGAAGCAGGGGGGACCACCCUCCAAGCCAAAAUACUGAUAUCGACCGAUAGCGCAUAGUACCGUGAGGGAAAGGUGAAAAGAACCCCUGGCGGGGAGUGAAAGAGAACCUGAAACCGUAUGUCUACAAACAGUCGAAGUCUGUAUAUAUAUCAGGACGACGGCGUGCCUAUUGAAGAAUGAACCGACGAGUUACUGUUGCUAGCGAGGUUAAGUGGAAAACACGGAGCCGCAGCGAAAGCGAGUCUGAACAGGGCGUUCAGUUAGUAAUAGUAGACCCGAAACCGUAGUGAUCUAUCCAUGGCCAGGUUGAAGCACAGGUAAAAUUGUGUGGAGGACCGAACUCGUGAGCGUUGAAAAGCUUUGGGAUGAGUUGUGGAUAGGGGUGAAAUGCCAAUCGAACACGGAGAUAGCUGGUUCUCCCCGAAAUAGCUUUAGGGCUAGCCUCGAGGUUGAGAGUAUAGGCGGUAGAGCACUGAUCGGGCUAGGGGCCAUACCGGUUACCGAACCUAGUCAAACUACGAAUGGCUAUACUUAUACUCGGGAGUCAGACAGUGAAUGAUAAGGUCCAUUGUCAAGAGGGAAACAGCCCAGAACACCGACUAAGGUCCCAAAUGUUACACUAAGUGGCGAAGGAUGUGGAAUUUCCAAAACAACCAGGAUGUUGGCUUAGAAGCAGCCACCAUUUAAAGAGUGCGUAAUAGCUCACUGGUCGAGAGACUCUGCGCCGAAAAUGUCCGGGGCUAAAGUGUAAAACCGAAGUCGUGUCAUAUGCAGCAAUGUAUAUGGGUAGGGGAGCGUUCUCAUUGGGUUGAAGCAGUACCGUAAGGAGUUGUGGACUGAUGAGAAGUGAGAAUGUCGGUAUGAGUAGCGAAAAGAAUGGUGAGAAUCCAUUCCACCGAAAGCCUAAGGGUUCCUGAGCAACGAUCGUCGUCUCAGGGUAAGUCGGGACCUAAGCCGAGGCGGAAAAGCGUAGGCGAUGGACAACAGGUUGAAAUUCCUGUACCGGUGUGAAUCGUUUGAUCGAUGGAGUGACACAGUAAGGUAGGUCAGCACGCGAUUGGAAGUGCGUGUUUAAGCAGGUAGGUUGAGCUAUAGGCAAAUCCGUAGCUCUAAAAGCUGAGAUGUGAUGACGAGUUACUAGCGAUAGUAACGAAGUGAUUGAUCCUACACUGUCGAGAAAAGCUUCUAGGUAGAGACACAUCGCCCGUACCAAAACCGACACAGGUAGGCGGGGAGAGAAUCCUAAGGUGCGCGGGAAAACCCUCGUUAAGGAACUCGGCAAAAUGCCUCCGUAACUUCGGGAAAAGGAGGACUCAUGUAGUGUGAAGUGCAGCAACGCAUGGAGCAUGAAUGAGUGGCACAAGAGAGGCGCAAGCGACUGUUUACCACAAACACAGGUGCCUGCUAAAGCGAAAGCUGAUGUAUAGGUGCUGACACCUGCCCGGUGCUGGAAGGUUAAGAGGAGGGGUUAGACUUCGGUCGAAGCUCUGAAUUGAAGCCCCAGUAAACGGCGGCCGUAACUAUAACGGUCCUAAGGUAGCGAAAUUCCUUGUCGGGUAAGUUCCGACCCGCACGAAAGGUGUAACGACUUGCGCACUGAUCUCAACGAGGGACCCGGUGAAGGAUUGAAGAACCUACCUGUGGGAAGAUGCAGGUUACCCGCGUAACUUGGACAGAAAGCAGCCCCUGAAGAGUGGACUGCAGGUUGCAAAGCGAAAGCUGCUGAACCUAAGCUCUGAAUUGAACUUACGGUUAAGGUGAAUCCUGGGGUAACAGGAAAGGGUACUUCGGUGUGGAAGUCCUGUGAAGAGAGGUUACGCUAUGGAGACUGCUCCCAGUUGUUAGGUGGGAGACGUAGAACCUAGGACGCCAGUUUUAGGGGAGUCGUUGUUGGGAUACCACCCUUUCAUUAAUUGAUUUCUAACGGGCCGAGUAACGACCGGCCGGACAGUCUUAGGCGGGCAGUUUGACUGGGGCGGUCGCCUCCUAAAGAGUAACGGAGGCGCCCAAAGGUUCCCUCAGAGCGGACGGAAAUCGCUCGAAGAGUGUAAAGGCAGAAGGGAGCUUGACUGCGAGACGGACAGGUCGAGCAGGGACGAAAGUCGGGCUUAGUGAUCCGGUGGUGCCGAGUGGAAGGGCCAUCGCUCAACGGAUAAAAGCUACCCUGGGGAUAACAGGCUAAUCUCUCCCAAGAGUCCAUAUCGACGGGGAGGUUUGGCACCUCGAUGUCGGCUCAUCACAUCCUGGGGCUGAAGUAGGUCCCAAGGGUUCGGCUGUUCGCCGAUUAAAGUGGUACGUGAGCUGGGUUCAGAACGUCGUGAGACAGUUCGGUCCCUAUCCAUCGCGGGCGCAAGAAACUUGAAGGGGGCUGCUCCUAGUACGAGAGGACCGGAGUGGACGAACCGCUGGUGUACCAAUUAUCCUGCCAAGGGUACAGUUGGGUAGCUACGUUCGGGACGGAUAAACGCUGAAAGCAUCUAAGCGUGAAACCAGCCUUGAGAUGAGGUUUCUCAUAGCAUAAGCUAGUAAGAUCCCAUGUAGACGACAUGGUUGAUAGGCCAGGUGUGGAAGAGCCGUGAGGUUUGGAGCUGACUGGUACUAAUAGAUCGAGGGCUUUACUU